AAACCAACAGGGAUUGCCCUAGUAACGGCGAGUGAAGCGGCAACAGCUCAAAUUUGAAAUCUGGCUCUUUCAGAGUCCGAGUUGUAAUUUGCAGAGGGCGCUUUGGCGUUGGCAGCGGUCCAAGUUCUUUGGAACAGGACGUCACAGAGGGUGAGAAUCCCGUACGUGGUCGCUAGCCUUCGCCGUGUAAAGCCCCUUCGACGAGUCGAGUUGUUUGGGAAUGCAGCUCUAAAUGGGAGGUAAAUUUCUUCUAAAGCUAAAUACUGGCCAGAGACCGAUAGCGCACAAGUAGAGUGAUCGAAAGAUGAAAAGCACUUUGGAAAGAGAGUCAAAUAGCACGUGAAAUUGUUGAAAGGGAAGCGCUUGCAGCCAGACUUGCCUGUAGUUGCUUAUCCAGACUUCUGUCUGGUGCACUCUUCUGCGGGCAGGCCAGCAUCAGUUUGGGCGGUUGGAUAAAGGUCUCUGUCAUGUACCUCCUUUCGGGGAGGCCUUAUAGGGGAGACGUCAUGCAACCAGCCUGGACUGAGGUCCGCGCAUCUGCUAGGAUGCUGGCGUAAUGGCUGUAAGCGGC
rnacentral:rRNA from 1 species